UCAACCCACCCCAGCAAUGGACACAAUUAACUCUCAUCCCCAUAUAAAAAACCACUUAAAUUCAGAAGCCCUAACGACCUAACCAUAAUUUUCCUAACCCCAAACGCCGCCCCAAGCCCUCCUCCGCCUCUCCGCCGCAAACAACCACCCAAGCCACCGGAAAAUUCUCCCCCAUAACCAAUCAUGUGGUCUAUUCUCUCACCCUUUUCGCGUGGCCUAACAAAUAUCGAACUCGAAUAUUCUUCAUUCUCACCCCUCUUUUUCCAUGUGAAGAAGCCUCUAGAAGGCAUGUGCUGAAUUAAUAGAGAACGUGGGAUCAAUUUCGAUGGAUCCCAACCCUUCACUCAUCAGGUGUGUGCCUUGUUCAAGAGGAUUUCGAGAUAUAAAGAGAUUUGGAGGCGAGGAUUUCGGGGGACAAUAUUUUGGAGAAGGGAAUUGGGAGAGGAAAAUUGUGACUUCUUCUUCUUCUUCUUCUUCUAUAUUUCUUAAAUUUCCAGAAAGUACUAAGAGAAAAAAAGAAAAAGUUUCAGUUCUUUUUCAUCCUUGAAUUUCAUUUUUAGACCUUAGGUUAUUUCAAAAGACAAAAAAACAAGAUACUAUGUUUUUCUUUCUUCAUUUUCAUUCCAGAUUUUGGUUCCUAUAUGGAAUUUGAUUGAGCGGAGGUUGUUUUGAGUUCAUCGUCAUUGUUGUUCGUCGUAGACUCCCGUCGAGGUCCCCUAGUACUCAUUGAUGAUUUCGACUGAAAUCAUUUAUUAUGGACUCAUUAAGUUUUGGCUUGAGUAAUUUGCUGUAAUCGUCAACUUUACUAAUUGAAAAGCUAAUUUCAGGUACUAGCCUCACUUUCAAAUUGUAAAUGAUGUCAAACAGUCCCUGUGCUAUGAAUUGAAUGAAGUCUGCAUAUGUCCCUGAAUAUUUCUUUGUUACUACGAUAAAUUCCUGGUUCUCUUUUCCUCCUCUCUGUUCUAUCUAUAUGUUGUGAUCGACUGGAUUUUAUAACCAUUUUUCUGUUUCUUUUAGCAUCAGUUGGAGUGUUUAAGAACUUAUCUAAAGUAUUUGAUUUAGUUAAUGCUUAAACAUGUUGGUUGGAAUAGCAGUGCCACAAUGAGUAUGAAAAUCGAUUGUGUGUUUUCUAGGAACACGAGUUGCAUAUCAUUUGUUUUUCUCUCUGCAAAAAUCUGUUCCUGUUUGGAAGAACACAAGUUGCUACUUAAUUGCUUUAUCUGGUCAUUCUUUUAGUUUACUUGGAGUAGCGUAUUGAAUAUUGCAAUCUAGACUAGAAAUCAUCUUUGUUUCUUUUCAAAAGUUGCGCCAACAGUUGAACUCAUGUGAUUUGAGUUCUAAAUCUGCGGUUCAAACUUGUUGCUUUGAUUGUAAUCAUAUAUCUAACUUUUUGAAAUUGUGAAUGCGAGCUUAAAACACUGAGGCAUCUCUUCUGAUGGUCAAUUCCGGGCGUUUCAUUCAUGAAUCUUUGUUGAAAUGUGAAUUAUCUAGUCCAUGGCUGCAUAUCCUGUCAUCCAAUUACAUUA
rnacentral:lncRNA from 1 species